AUGAGCUCUUCUCCAGGUUUAGUGACUGUGGCACUCCUCCUGCUUGGACAAGUCUAUGGAGACUCAGUAACACAGACAGAAAGCCAAGUGACUCUAUCAGAAGAGGCUUCUCUGACUAUCAACUGCACUUAUUCAAUCAGUUAUGCAUACCCUAUACUUUGGUGGUAUGUUCAAUAUCCUGGAGAAGGCCCACAGGUCCUCCUGAAAGCCCAGAAAGACAAAGAUGUUGGGCGAGAGAAAGGUUUUGAAGCUACAUAUCUUAAAGACUCAAAUUCCUUCCACCUGGAGAAAGCGACAGUGCAAGAGCCAGACUCAGCUGUGUACUACUGUGCUGCGAGUGGCACAGUGACAGGACCUGCAGGGGGAGCAGAACACAAACCUGAGCAGGAACAAGGUCUGAAGCUGAGAGUUUCAAACAUUGUAGUGCAGUCUGGUUCCAGCACAUUCUGCGUUUGA